GCGCUUUAGCAGCACAUAUACUAAAGUUGGAAAUAUACCGAGUAGAUUAGCAUAGCCCCUGCGCAAGGACCACAUGCAGAUUCCUGAACCGGACCAUAUUUUU